UGCUGGUUCAAAGCAUGAAGCACUAAAACUCUUUAAAGCUGUUUUUCCUUUUAUUACUUUCCAUAUCAUCUAGAAACUUUAGUCUUUAGUCCAUUGUUUAGGUGUUGCACCUGAAUAGAACAGCACUGAUUACUCCAAGGAGUGUGUUUUCUGAGUUUCUUUCUCAGUAAAGCACUGUUGGGCUGGUUAUUGGCUGAGGCUCUACUGCAGAGACUGGAAGGCAAAGGAAGAAGUCUCCUUUAUCUCCAUCCUAAUGCCAUUUAGAAAGAGGCUGUAAUGAAUCCUGGAGUACAAAUGUGCUGUUUCCUCUGUGGAAGU
rnacentral:lncRNA from 1 species